UGUCAUGUGCGGUCGGUGCUCUUGCUCGCCGCUCGGUCAGUUCUAGCGCUCAGGGCAACAGAAAAGUCUGAUUAUUCUUUUGAUAAAGUUUAUCUAUCUAGUUACCGAUUGCCAGUGGCGAAAUGCCAGGUCGGUGCGAUGUCGCGGGGUGCCCGAACGGUCCACGUCGUCUGAACAAGGGUACUAAAAGCUCCGACAGCAAUGUCAACUACCACACGGUGCCGCCUGACGAACCUCGACGUUCCCGCUGGUUCAGUUCUGUUCCCAUGCUACAGCGGGAAGUAAAGGAGCCGAUGAGACGACAUGUGUGCUCUCUGCAUUUCCGCCCGGAGGAUUACGAGCAUAAUUAUCUCUUAAGGCAAUCAGUGGAAGUGCCUUUCCAUGUGCGACUUCGUCGCAACGCUGUUCCGUCGAUAUUUCUUUCAUCCUUCGAAGAACUUCACAACACUUCAUUCCACCUGAAACCGAUAGAAAUCAGUAGCAAAACCUUCACCUGGGAAGCACCGCUGCUGCAAGACGAAUGUGUCGUGGCUAACGUUGCCGUUUUGAUCUCGGAAGGUGACAUUACCGGCACGCACCUGCAUGGAAAGUAACGCGGAGGCUCUUUCCCCUGGCGCCAAAAACGCGGAGACGCAGACGGAUUUCCUGCAGAGACCCGCAGAAAGAAUUGGUUAUGGUUACCGCAGCGUCGGAAAUGCGAAAGGAGUGCAGGCUAAACCGUUAUUGGGCCCGAGCGUUGGAAUCCAGGUGAACACAACAAUAAAGUUAAUGAGAUCUACGGCACUUCAAGUGAACACUUUAAAAACUAUAAAACCAAUUAGCGACUGUGCCGUACUUAUGUCAGCUAGGCAACCAGUCAUGCACCGGAGAAGUAGGCCAAUAAAGGAGCUCAGCCUACGCUUCCCUCACCUGGUGCAUCUCCAGUACUGCGAGAACCUCACAGGCAUGACGCAACGUACAAGCAGGAAUUUCACUUGCACCCCAGAUGUGACCUUUGACGAAUCACAAGCUAUACCGAAAUGGGAAUUUCCACUGGGAGAAGUCGAUGCAGUGAUGUCACUUGGAUGAAGGCGACAGUGGAUGUUUCUCGAAGGAAGAAUGCUGAGGAGAGGUGUAUGCUCAAAGAAGUACAGCACAAAAGACAGUGAUGAACAAGUCUGCUGCCCCUGGGGGAGGAAAGUGCAAAGUGCAUGUGUGAGACACGGAAUACUCAAUCACAUGGCAUCUUUGGAAAGCUCCGUAGAAAACCAUCCACUGACCUGAAGUGCCACAGCUGGGAAUCGAACCCAUAACCUCGUUCUCAACACCUCAACACCAUAUAGCCACUGCAGAUAGGCAAGGGGCCAACCUUCCUGCAUUCCUACUGGUACAGGCUGCACACACUCCAUUUCAACCUCCCAUUUCAAGUCAACGAUGAUCAAAGGAUUGUCACUCUCGGCCUAAGCUCGGAGCGAAUGAGCCGCACAUUCUUGUUAUCCAAGGAAGGUAUGGAAACAGCCCGAUACAGUUGUCAUAACUGACACGACACUCUGCAACACAAGCAAGCCUGUAGAAAUUGGUACGCUACAAUAAAGUGUGACUCUUGCCU